rnacentral:tRNA from 1 species
CCGCGCUGGCCCAGGAGGGCGGGCCGGGCGGCAUGGCCGAGGUGAUAGGCGUCGCGAUCGCCGCCGUCGUCCUGCUCGUCACGUUCGGC